CCCUUAGAUGUUCUGGGCCGCACGCGCGCUACACUGACGAAUGCAACGAGCUUAUAACCUUGGCCGAAAGGUCUGGGUAAUCUCCAAAUUUCGUCGUGAUGGGGAUAGAUUAUUGCAAUUAUUAAUCUUCAACGAGGAAUGCCUAGUAAGCGCAAGUCAUCAGCUUGCGUUGAUUACGUCCCUGCCCUUUGUACACACCGCCCGUCGCUCCUACCGAUUGAAUGGUCCGGUGAAGCGUUUGGACUAUGGUUUUCUGAUGGUCCGCCGUUGGAUUACCGUGGGAAGUUCGUUAAACCUUAUCAUUUAGAGGAAGGAGAAGUCGUAACA
rnacentral:rRNA from 1 species